AUUGAACGCUGGCGGCAGGCUUAACACAUGCAAGUCGAGCGGGGAAAGGUAGCUUGCUACCUAACCUAGCGGCGGACGGGUGAGUAAUGCUUAGGAAUCUGCCUAUUAGUGGGGGACAACAUUCCGAAAGGAAUGCUAAUACCGCAUACGCCCUACGGGGGAAAGCAGGGGAUCUUCGGACCUUGCGCUAAUAGAUGAGCCUAAGUCAGAUUAGCUAGUUGGUGGGGUAAAGGCCUACCAAGGCGACGAUCUGUAGCGGGUCUGAGAGGAUGAUCCGCCACACUGGGACUGAGACACGGCCCAGACUCCUACGGGAGGCAGCAGUGGGGAAUAUUGGACAAUGGGCGAAAGCCUGAUCCAGCCAUGCCGCGUGUGUGAAGAAGGCCUUUUGGUUGUAAAGCACUUUAAGCGAGGAAGAGGCUACUUGGAUUAAUACUCUAGGAUAGUGGACGUUACUCGCAGAAUAAGCACCGGCUAACUCUGUGCCAGCCGCCGCAGUAAUAC
rnacentral:rRNA from 1 species